rnacentral:rRNA from 1 species
UACGUAGGGCGCAAGCGUUGUCCGGAAUUAUUGGGCGUAAAGAGCUCGUAGGCGGUUUGUCGCGUCUGCUGUGAAAACCUAAGGCUCAACCUUGGGCUUGCAGUGGGUACGGGCAGACUAGAGUGCGGUAGGGGUGACUGGAAUUCCUGGUGUAGCGGUGGAAUGCGCAGAUAUCAGGAGGAACACCCGAUGGCGAAGGCAGGUCACUGGGGCCGCAAACUGACGCU